rnacentral:rRNA from 1 species
UAAGGAAUAUUGGACAAUGGGGGCAACCCUGAUCCAGCCAUGCCGCGUGAAGGAAGAAGGACCUAUGGUUUGUAAACUUCUUUUGUAGCAGAGAAAACCCUCCUACGUGUAGGAGGUUGAUAGUAUGCUAAGAAUAAGCAUCGGCUAACUUCGUGCCAGCAGCCGCGGUAAUACGAAGGAUGCGAGCGUUAUCCGGAUUUAUUGGGUUUAAAGGGUGCGUAGGCGGCUUUAUAAGUCAGUGGUGAAAUCCUGUCGCUUAACGACAGACGUGCCAUUGAUACUGUAGAGCUUGAGUACAGAUGCCGUUGGCGGAAUGUGUCAUGUAGCGGUGAAAUGCAUAGAUAUGACACAGAACACCGAUUGCGAAGGCAGCUGACGAAACUGUAACUGACGCUGAGGCACGAAAGCGUGGGGAUCAAACAGG